UGUCUAUUUAGGGAGCGAACACGGUUGAGACACAACCAUGAGAAAGCGUCUGCAGCACAUGCAGCUCUAUCAGAUGAGCUCAGAGACGCGCUAACGGGACGAGCUGAAGCGUCUGCUCUCAUACACCACAAGAGACUAACAAGAGAAAAACAACUUUCAAAAACUUCUCGUUUAUAUUAACAACAACAGGCUCAGUCAUGACUAUAGACGCGCCAGUGAUUUUAUCCGCACUUUUCUUCACAAUUAUUGCCAUUAUAGUUGCGUCGUCGCUUCUGGCGAAGAAAUCUUCGCCAAAGAAAGAGCGACAGGAGGAGAGACCCGACCGAGAGGUUACUGAGUCCAGAGAGGAGAUACCUCCUGUUCCAGUGAAGAUUGAGGAGAAAAUACCUCCUGCUCCAGUGAAGUCUGAAGAGAAAAGACCUACUGCUCCAGUGAAGAUUGAGGAGAAAAUACCUCCUGCUCCAGUGAAGUCUGAAGAGAAAAGACCUACUGCUCCAGUGAAGAUUGAGGAGAAAAUACCUGCUCCGGUUCAGCAAACACCUGUCCAGACAGUGGUAGACACUGAGCUGAGAAAUGAGGAACCUGUUCCAGUCCUCCCUGUUAUUGAGGAGAUUGGUGUUGUGGAGGAAGCGUCUCCAGUGGAACUUGAAAUCAUCCCUGUGCAGCAGACACCUGUUCAGGCAGCUCUAAAGCCAGACCUUGUCCCUGAGGUUGUUGAACCCACACCAGUAAAAGAGCCAACCCCUCUGGCACCUGAGCCAGCGCCUGAGCAAGAAUUACCCACCCCUAAACCAGAGACAUUGACCGCAUUGGUAGAGGACCCAGUGGCUGAAACAACCCCAGAGGUACCAGUCCCUGAGCCAGAAUCCGUGCCCCUCCUCGAAUCUGUGCCUGUCCCUGAACCAGAAUCUGUGCCAUCACUAGAACCUGAAUCUGCCCCUGAACCUGUGCCUGAACAAGAAGCUGCACCCGCCCGUGAACCAGAAACUGUGCCUGCCCCUGAAUCUGUGCCAGUCCCUGAACCUGGAUCUGCACCUGCCCCUGAACCAGAAUCUGUGCCAGUCCCUGAACCUGGAUCUGCACCUGCCCCUGAACCAGAAUCUGUGCCAGUCCCUGAACCUAAAUCUGCACCCGAACCAAAAUCUGUUCCUGCCCCUGAAUCUGCACCCCUCCCUGAACCAAAAUCCGCAUCUGUGCCAGUUCCUGAACCGGAAUCUGCACCUGCCCCUGAAUCUGCAUCUGCCCCUGAACAGGAAUCUGCGUCAGUCCCAGAGGCCUCUCCAGUAGCAGAGACCGUUCCAGAGAUCCUGGAGCUUAAUGAUGUUGCAGCUGCCUCACAGGAAGAUGAGAGCGAGACCUCCGCAGUCGUGCCUGGUAAGAAGAGGACCACCAAGUUUGAGGGGAGAAUGUCCAAAGAAGAGAUGGAGGAGGAACAAAGGAUAGAGUUCACAAGUGACUUUACGUCUCUUUAAACAACAGUUUCAGACCAAUGAUUCAAGAUAAACAUAACCGACCGAGCCUCCUCCUACAUGUUUCACUGUAGGUAUGGUGUUCACUUCUUUGAAAGCUUGAUUUUUUUCAUCUGUGAACAUAAGAGCUGAUGUGACUUGCCAAAAAGCUCCAGUUUGGACUCAUCUGUCCAAAGGACAUUCUCCCAGAAGGAUUGUGGCUUGUCAAUAUGAAUUUGAGAUAAUUCCAUUCUGGCUUUUUUAUGUUUUUCUUCCUCAUGGGUCUUCUUCCAUGGUGCCCACUUUUGCUCAAAUAGCGACGGAUGGUGCGAUCAGAAACUGACUCACCUUGGAGUUCAGCUUGUAUCUCUUUGGCAGUUAUCCUUGGUUGUUUUUCUACCAUUCUCACUAUCCUUCUGUUCAAUCUGGGGUGGAUUUUCCUCUUGCGGCCGCGCUCAGGGAGGUUGGCUACAAGACCUUAAACUUCUUAAUAUUUGCAACUGUUGUCACAGGAACAUCGAGCUGCUUGGAGAUGGUCUUGUAGCCUUUACCUUUACCAUGCUUGUCUAUUAUUUUCUUUCUGAGCUCCUCAGACAACUCUAUCCUUUGCUUUCUCUGGUCCAUGUUCAGUGUGGUGCACACAAUGAUACCAAACAGCACAGUGACUGGUUUUCUCCGUUUAAAUAGGCUGAAUGACUGAUUACAAGAUUGAAUACAUGUGUGAUACUAAUCAAAGAAACUAAUUAGUUUGAAAUAUACGUCUGUAUGUAUUUUGAAAUACCCUUACUUAAGCGUACUAUAUCAGUGAUACAUAUUUUAGCCACAUAAAUCAUAUAUAUUAUUUUGAAUUUAAUACAGUUAUUGGUCGCACCACAUGAUAUUUUGACACUUUAAAUUACAGAAAAAUGACAAAUAACUCCUGUUUUUAAAAAAAACUUAUAUAUACUGUAUAUAUGAUAUUUUCUGAUGCAUUUAAACCCAUUUUUAACUAAAAAGCAGUCUUGAGAGAAAUGUAUAGGAUUCACAUUUGAGGUGCAAUAAGCUGUUUGAGAUCAUCGUAAAAAGGAGUUUUUAUAUGGCUUAUGUUUAAGCUUUCACUCGAUGUUCUGUCUGUCUGUGUGGCUGCGUCCGAAAUCACAUACUUCCAUACUAUAUAGUAGGCGAAAAUGAGUAUGAGUCAUGAAUAUUAUGUCCGAAACCUCAGUAUGCAAAAAACAGUAGGCGAGAAAUACCCGGAUGGUCUACUACUUCCGCCGAGAUUCGUGAGUGUGGAUCGGAUGGACACUUCUCUAUCCCAUGAUGCCACGGGAGCUGAGCAACGGUCAAAUUUCAAAAGUAAAUCAAAUAAAUAUAGCGGAAAAUAAAUUAAUUUAUCGUGACUAAAUUAUGUUUUUAUCAACACUCACGUAUAGGUUGUUGUUAAUACGCCGUAGGUCAAAGAGCAUACGGGUCACAUGACCAUAAAACAUGGCGGACGCAGUAUGUUCCGAAAUGUAUUCAUACUAUUCCCACUCAUACUAUAUAGAACGUACUGUUUUAACGGCCGAUAGGUAGGUACUUAUUCAAAUUCAGUACGUACUGUCACAGUAUGUGAUUUCGGAUGCAGCCUGUGUCUUUGCAUGUGUGUUUCCCUGCACAUCAUCAUUCAUGUUUCUCACUGCAUGGGCAACAUCUCACAAUGAACACUGGUAAACGGUGUCAGUCUUUUUUAGGGGUUUUACCUCAAUGGGAUUUGCCAGGAACAUAGGGUACAAUUGCAUGUAAAUAAAUGGUCAUUAUUUUCUCCUGAAUGUUUCCGGUUCUCCUGGUGUUGGCUCUGAUGUUAAGAUCAGUUUAACUGCUGCAUGACUAAUACACUCCGAUGAGCUUUUACCAGUAACAUCACAACACCAGAGCUGAUGAUGAGUUGCUGAGUAAAGCUCAAACCAGAGUGUGUGGGAAGAUUCCCCCCCCCAAACCGAAGCUUCAGGACCUUUGCAGAGUGCCGACUUUUAUUGACUGUCUCCAAAAUGUGUUGUCAUGGAAAAUGAGCAUCGCUCUUAAGUCUUUUUGUACAUGUUGCAGAUCUGCCUGUGAAUAGCCGGCUUUGUCAAGAAAAAUGCCAAAGAGUCUAAAACAAUAAUUUAAACCUGUUUUGGUUUGUGUUUUGUCACAUUUCUUAAGGCCCCCAGUCUAAGAGAGGUCUAUUGAAACCAAUUAUUUCAUCUGAGAUUGACUUUAGGUUAACUUAAAUGUUUACUGUCCCUUACAAAUAUUUAUAAUAUGGAGGAAGUAUUGGUAAACCAGCAGUUUGCUAUUGUUUUUGUUUUUCAUUUUCUUUGUCUGGUGAUUUGAAUAUGAGAUUUUAAUGAAAUCUUGUAUGAAAUUAAACUCAUUGUGUAUGUUUUGAGCUCCAGUGUUUUCCGGAUUUAUGCUACAGACGUUGUGACCAUCAUGAACUUCAGAAUAUCCAGCACGCCCCCUUGUGGACCAUCAAAGAUGUGACAUCAUAGACAGAGCGAAAUGUGUUUAACGUGGAGUCAGGCAUACUUGAUGAAAUAGAUGAAGAUUAUGGAUUUUGUUGAUUGUUAUGGUCAUAAACGGAAAGUAAUUUAACUGAAUCUCACAAAAAUAUAACUAGGUAAUUUUUACCCUAAAAUCGCAAGUAAAAUCAUUUUAAAAUAUCUUUUUUUUUCAAUGGGACAUUAAUAAUUAGAUAAUGUCACGAUGAAACAAACAGGAGAAGUGUGGCAUGAGAGUACUUUCGAUAUCAAGACCCUGAAUGCCUGAACUGUCUUUUGCAUUUUUUCAUGAAGGUCACUCUUGUCAUAAAUAAAAGAUCAAUAAAGAGCCAGACUGUAUACAUUUCUGUUUGCAGUAUUACUUCUUCUAACACACUGUGCACGCCCUCAUUGAGUAUAUUGUGAGUUUAUAAGAGUGUGUUUGUGUGACUUUGUGCUGUUGUGUUUC